AAACGGGGAGGCUCAUAGUUUCUCUUGCAGCGGCAGUGGGUUGAUACAAAUUGUACAUGCCUACCAAAUGAAGUUGUUGUAUUCCUCCUUAAUAUUGAUUUCUUUCAAGCUAAUUAAUUCGGGUUUAUCUCCUACCUUUAGCUAUUAAGACCUGCAUAUAUUUAUUUUUAGAUCCUCUUGAUAAGAUAGUAAGUUUAUCAAUCAAUAUGCAGAAGCCAUGAAGUGGAGUCACAUAACACGGACUGUUAACCUAGUACUAUGCUAACUGUCGAGGUAUGUUUGUCCCAAAAUUGUCUACAAAAUCUCUUACUAGGUUUAUUAAUCAAUUAUUCUUUUCAUAUUAGGUAUGUAUGUAUAUAUCGUUCUAGGUUUUUGUUCUUUAUGCAGGAGCAUGAUCCUUUAAUGAGUUGCUGAAAAAAAGACUAUCUGGAUGUAUAUUUAGCUGGUCAUUUCUAUAUUAAUAUGCUUAUUUAUGUUGGAUUUUUGAACAAAGUCUUGAGAAUAGACUCGUGGCAGUGAAUCUUCGGUUAGUGUUUAUGAAUUAUGUCGAAUCUUUGAAAAAAAGACCAGUUUGAGAAUAUUGUUGGGAUUUUGUGUUUGUUUUAUGGAGUAUUACAUGUUAGUAAUAACUAGUACGUUCAUCUGUGCGGUUCAUGACGAAUAUAGAUAUUAAAUAUGUUUAAAUAAAUAAAUAUAAAUAUUGAAUCGAAUCCAAAUAUAAACAAAUAUAAAAUAAUAUUUUAAUACAUAGAUAUAUAUUUUCAUACCCAAAGGCAAAUAAAAGGUAGUAAAUAAUUAAUGAAGAGAGAAAACAAUAAAAUAUUUUAAAUUUUAAAAA
rnacentral:lncRNA from 1 species